GACUAUGCAUCUGUAGGAUCACCUCCAGAUCCAGAAGAGGUCCAAGAUUGUGAGAGGUACAGCAGGAUACGCCUAGCUCGGCAUGAUGAAAGAGAAAAGCGAUUGAAUUUUCCCCAGAGUGUUCGUGACGUGGUUGUUGGUAGUGGUGAAAUUAUUGUUGAUGACAUGAAGUAUACAGUUUCACAUGUUGUGGAGCCAGUUGAAAGGGG
rnacentral:misc_RNA from 1 species